AGACUGCCGGUGACAAACCGGAGGAAGGUGGGGAUGACGUCAAGUCAUCAUGGCCCUUACGGCCAGGGCUACACACGUGCUACAAUGGUCGGUACAAAGGGUUGCCAAGCCGCGAGGUGGAGCUAAUCCCAUAAAACCAAUCGUAGUCCGGAUCGCAGUCUGCAACUCGACUGCGUGAAGUCGGAAUCGCUAGUAAUCGUGAAUCAGAAUGUCACGGUGAAUACGUUCCCGGGCCUU
rnacentral:rRNA from 1 species